GGAAUGGCGGCUCUACCAUGCAGUCGAGCGGUAAGGCCCUUCGGGGUACACGAGCGGCGAACGGGUGAGUAACACGUGGGUGAUCUGCCUCGCACUCUGGGAUAAGCCUGGGAAACUGGGUCUAAUACCGGAUAUGACCUUACAUCGCAUGGUGUUUGGUGGAAAGAUUUAUCGGUGCGAGAUGGGCCCGCGGCCUAUCAGCUUGUUGGUGGGGUAAUGGCCUACCAAGGCGACGACGGGUAGCCGGCCUGAGAGGGCGACCGGCCACACUGGGACUGAGACACGGCCCAGACUCCUACGGGAGGCAGCAGUGGGGAAUAUUGCACAAUGGGCGAAAGCCUGAUGCAGCGACGCCGCGUGAGGGAUGACGGCCUUCGGGUUGUAAACCUCUUUCGACAGGGACGAAGCGCAAGUGACGGUACCUGUAGAAGAAGCACCGGCCAACUACGUGCCAGCAGCCGCGGUAAUACGUAGGGUGCGAGCGUUGUCCGGAAUUACUGGGCGUAAAGAGCUUGUAGGCGGCUUGUCGCGUCGAUCGUGAAAACUUGGGGCUCAACCCCAAGCUUGCGGUCGAUACGGGCAGGCUUGAGUACUUCAGGGGAGACUGGAAUUCCUGGUGUAGCGGUGAAAUGCGCAGAUAUCAGGAGGAACACCGGUGGCGAAGGCGGGUCUCUGGGAAGUAACUGACGCUGAGAAGCGAAAGCGUGGGUAGCGAACAGGAUUAGAUACCCUGGUAGUCCACGCCGUAAACGGUGGGUACUAGGUGUGGGUUUCCUUCCACGGGAUCCGUGCCGUAGCUAACGCAUUAAGUACCCCGCCUGGGGAGUACGGCCGCAAGGCUAAAACUCAAAGGAAUUGACGGGGGCCCGCACAAGCGGCGGAGCAUGUGGAUUAAUUCGAUGCAACGCGAAGAACCCUUACCUGGGUUUGACAUACACCGGAACCUGCAGAGAUGUAGCCCCCUUGUGGUCGGUGUACAGUGGUGCAUGGCUGUCGUCAGCUCGUGUCGUGAGAAUGUUGGGUUAAGUCCCGCAACGAGCGCACCCUAUCUAUGUGCAGCGCGUAUGCGGGGACUCGUGAGAGACUGCUGGGUCACUCGAGAGGUGGGACGACGUCAGUCAUCAUGCCCUAUGUCAGCUCAACAUGCUACAUGCGUACGAGGCUCAAUCGUAGUGAACGAUUCCUAGCGUUCAGUCGAAUCGUUCGCAACUGACCGGUAAAGUGGAUUCCCUGAAAUCGCGAGUAUACAACG
rnacentral:rRNA from 1 species